CAGAGUUUGCAAAGACUCCCCUAAACCAUUGUGAACCUAACCUUCUACCGUUGCUUCGGCGGGCGGGCCCCAGCGCCCCCCCCCGGCCCCCCGCGGGCGCCACGCCGGAGGGAUACCCAAAACUCUUGACAUAGUGGCCUCUCUGAGUAUUCUUUACUGAAUAAGUCA
rnacentral:misc_RNA from 1 species